GUUUUAUCAGGUAUUGUACUGGGUUCCACCCUGCAGGUCCCUCACUGGUGGAUCUUCCUCUGGGUGAUGAACAGGGACCUCUGACCCAUUGUCCUGGGCAGAAAGAGACAAGCAGACUAAAUGGAGCCUAGUCCCUCAGUGUAGAAGUUGAUCAGAAGGAUCCAGAUGGGAGGAGGCCUUUCAAACCCAGAUUCUGCUCCCGUGAACUGAGAGACUUUUUCAUAAAAUCUCACAAUGAAGAAUAUGUAAUGGGAAGAAGGCAAUAUCAAGUCAGCGAACAGAAUAUAUUUCUCAUGUUCAGAAAUGGAGACACCGUUGAAAUAAGGCUAUCCUGUCACAAAAAAUAAACAUUGAUUUAAAAACUGCCUGCUUUUGUUUAGAAUACAACAAGAAAACCAAAAGUGUUUACAAGUACUGUAUAUGAAAUAAAGAAAUGUAAACACCUUAUGAACAAAAUAGUUUUAUUUUAAGACUUUAAAUACUGCAG
rnacentral:lncRNA from 1 species